CAGUCGCCGCGGGAAUACGAAGGGUGCAAGCGUUACUCGUAAUUACUGGGCGUAAAGCGUGCGUAGGUGGUGGUUUAAGUCCGUUGUGAAAGCCCUGGGCUCAACCUGGGAAUUGCAGUGGAUACUGGAUCACUAGAGUGUGGUAGAGGAUAGUGGAAUUUCCGGUGUAGCAGUGAAAUGCGUAGAGAUCGGAAGGAACAUCUGUGGCGAAGGCGACUAUCUGGGCCAACACUGACACUGAGGCACGAAAGCGUGGGGAGCAAACAGGAUUAGAUACCCCAGUAGUCCCUGUCUCUUAUAC
rnacentral:rRNA from 1 species